GGUCCGACGGUAGCGGGUUAUCAGAACCUAUUAACAUUAGCGUUACUGAAGUUGGUAUACAACCCCCCACUACUAAAUUUGGCUUAAAAUUUU
rnacentral:Y_RNA from 1 species